UAAUCUAUAUAUAUAAAAAUCAAUUGCUGUUCCUUUGUCUCGCUAAAACUCGAGAACGGCUGAACGGAUUUAUCUUAUCUUGGUCUUGAAUUAUUCGUAGAGGUCUAGGGAAGGUUUAAAAGGUGAGAAAAUAUCAAAUAAUUGACGGAAAAGCCCUAAAAACAGCCCUUUUCUUUAUCCCAUACAAACAUUUUCUAACUAAUACGUAGAGUCAAUUUGAGCUUUAUUGCUAUUGGAUAAAGUUCAUUGUUGGAUAAAUGCUAUUGGAUACUAAAAAACAAAUGCUAUUGAAUAAGACUUGGAGCACAGAAUCCCUACUAAUAUUAUAAAUGCGAAAGUAACUCUGUCUGUCUGUAAUUACGCUUUCAAGCCUAAACCAGUGAACCGAUUUUGAUGGAAUUUAGUACUGAGAUAGAAUAGACCUUGAUACUUUUUAUUGCAAAAUAAAAGCGGAGAAUGGGUAAAAAUAAGGGAUAAAUGGUCAUAUGGAAAUUCGUCAUUUUAAAAGCUGUAACAGUAAAACUUUGUAUUUAGAUACUUAAUGAGGAACGAAAGAACAUGGUCUACUUUUUAUUGCAAAAAAUAGGGGAGAGUGGGUAAAAAUAGGGGAUGAAUGGUCAUAUGGAAAUUCGUCAUUUUUAAAGCUGUAACAGUGAAAUUUUGUAUUUAGACACUUAAUGAGGAGCGAAAGAACAUAGGCUACUUUUUAAUAAAAAGGGUAGAAGGCAUAGUAUGUUUAAUAGAGGAGAUUAAUGUUUACUUGAAAAUUCGUCAUUUUCGUUAAUACGUUGCCUGUGGCUUCACUCGCGUUCGAUUCUUAUUUAAAUACACAUAUACUUAUUUAAAUCGCCAAUAUCCCUACUACCAUACUAAUGUUAUGAAUGCGAAAGUAAUCCUGUUUGUGUUGAGGUUACGCUUGCACGUAUGUUUUUUUUUUGGAAUAUAACAACGAAACAAUGUAUUUUUUUAUUGAUAGGCAAUAUAUAGGAAAUUAAAGGAUAAUAAUAUAGAUAUGGCGGUCGUGGUUUCUUUGGAAUACAUAUCUUUAAAAAUGCUAACAGCAACAUAUUCUUAAGUAAUUCACAUUUUAGAUGACAUACGGCAGCAUUUUGACCACUAACACCACUACGCGGACGAAGUCGCGGGCAAAAGCUAGAUUCGAUAAAUUUUCAUUUGUACAUGUCAAAUAUUUGUUGUUUCUAAAUUCAAAUUCUGUAAAUAAUGAUUGACAUUUAUGCAUAAACUAUGAAAAGGGUGAAUAAACAAUUGUCUGUAUUUUUUUUUAAUCUAUUGAAAAUGUUGAAAAAUGCAUUAAGCAUUAAUAGAAAUUCCUCAAAUAUUAAUUAUGCAUGCGUUCAGAAAUAAUGACAAAUGAUCAACAGUUACGCGUGUGUUCAGAAAUUUAUUUUGUGUAAAUUAAAGUUUCUAUUCACGUUUUCGAACAAACGAUACUCUUUCAAUAUAGUCUAUUGGUGUGAAUGACAUUGACAUUCGUAUUGCGCGUUUUUUAAAAUAUGCAAAAUUAAAUGUAUAUUUUUCAAUAUUUCUGAGAGAUUUUCUUAAUAUUUCUUCGAGUUUUAAAGACUAAGAAGAUUUUUAUUUGCUAAUAAGUGUUUGUUAAUCAAGUUGGAAUUUCGUUUUUAACAAUGCUACCAACCAGACGUACAAGCUUAGGCCGCAGAACUCGAAAUACGGCAAGUCAAAGAAAUAUAAGAGCAAAUCAAACUGAUGAGCAACGCGAAGCGCGAAAUGAACUUGAACUGAAUCGAUAUCAAGAUAGAAAUGUUGUGUUUAAUCCCCACAAAGCUGCAUUCAGUUAUAAUGUGGCAAUUGAUUACAGUUCAGAGCAAAUUGUUGCUAUUGGACUAAUGAACAUUGUGUGUCCACAUUGGGAUUGAAAUUAAAAAAUGAAGCCCCUGGAUUGUGUUGCACCAGCGGUCAAAUUGACGCCAUUGGUACCGCCACCAGAGCCACUACAUUCAUUGGUUCAUUUUUUGACUCAUAUCCAGCAGUACAAUAAUUGCUUUCAAAUGACAUCAUUUGGGGCAACAAAAGUUAUACGAGACAAUUUUUUGCCUACUUUUAGCAAAUUCAGGGAUUCAAAUAUAUCAUCAAACAGGUUCCUUAUUGCCAGUGCCUGUUGAAGACUAUACAUUUUUGCAAAUAUAUUUUAUGGACAAUUCAGCAAGAGAAGUCGUUGCGCACACAACAACUCAGUAAAGAGAUCCAUUGUGAUGAACAACUUCAAACAUUUUUCCUUCAACACAAUAAAUUAGUUGCAUUAGACCGAUGCAUUAGACAUUCACAAAUGCAUUAGAUCGCAUGCCAUCAGAUAAUCACAAAAUUGUCAUCAGAGCCGAUAAGGCGCCUGCAGGACAGUGAAAUGAUUGAAUCCUAUGAAAUAAACACUAUUAUGAAAAUAUAUUUUGUUUUUUUUUUUAAAUUAGUAAAGUCCUUUUCAGGUAUAGUGAGAUCAGGAAAUUAUGGAUUCAUUUUUAUAUGGAGGAUAUUUAUAGAUUCCAAUUCAAAUUGAAUAGGGACUCAUGUAUAACUCAGCUAUA